UGGAUUCGGUGCUGGAUGUG
rnacentral:misc_RNA from 1 species